AGCCGAUUAGUGUAACGGUAACACAAACGACUCUGACUCGUUUAUUUAAGGUUCGAAUCCUUAAUCGGCUGCCA
rnacentral:tRNA from 1 species